CUGCUGCCUUCCGUAGGAGUUUGGGCCGUGUCUCAGUCCCAAUGUGGCCGUUCACCCUCUCAGGCCGGCUACUGAUCGUCGCUUUGGUAGGCCGUUACCCUGCCAACUGGCUAAUCAGACGCGGGUCCAUCUCACACCGAUAAAUCUUUUCCAACCAGAGCAUGCGCCCCUGUUGGCUUAUGCGGUAUUAGCGGUCGUUUCCAACUGUUAUCCCCCUGUCGUGAGGCAGGUUACCCACGCCGUUACUCACCCGUCCGCCA
rnacentral:rRNA from 1 species